rnacentral:lncRNA from 1 species
AUUGAUUUGGCGUAAAGAAAUAAGGUUAAACCUUGCUUGUCCAUUCUUACUUCUUUCCACUACUUAUAGGGCUAUUGUUAUGAGCUGCCACUCAAUUAAAAUGGUAAACUCUGUCACUUGCCCAGAGUGUUCAAUUCUUUAGCAAUCGCUUUUGAGGAAUUUAAGCAUUGCUAUUGACUACGCUAGCAAGGUUCAUCAAGUGCUAUUGGCUUUACUUUCAUCCUUAUCCAUAUGGUAUGUCAUAUUGUAUGCCAGCGUCAUCAUUGAUGCAUGAUUGGCUUCUCCCAAUCGAAUUUGGCUUGUUUGAACAAACGUAUAAAAUAAGAAAAUAAAGAUAUACCUACACGUUUCCGAUUAUAAAUGUUUCCUAAUAUGCUUUAUGUGGGUCUAAGUCUAAUUAAAACUAACCACAAAAAUUGACUUGUAUAUAGUAGUUGAUUAUGUUAACACAACACUGUGUUUGUUGGUUCUGUGCUUCCUCUCUUGGAUAAGAAUUGUGAGACACUACACCAUACCAUAAUUUUACCUUGAAUGCACAUAACCAACAAAUACAAUGUUGUGUUAACAUAGCUAUUUACAAAUUCAACCAAAACUCAACUCAUGCCAG